GCUGACACCAUGCAUGGAACUGGGGAACGCCCCGCCCCUCCCAAGAGCACUUCCCGAGGGCCCUCUGUCCUAAAGGGAUACAGAGCAGCUCAGGCUGGUUUCUGUCUCUGAUUCCUGCCCCCACGCCUCAGCGCUGUACUACCUAGGAGUAAAUACACUAGGCAGUUCAUUUGUCUCUAACAUAAAGUUUUUCAAGCACUCUCCAUGUGCUAGGUACUGUUCUAAGGACUCUACAAGCAUUAACUGCAUCAAUAACAACCUUAGAGGUAAGUACUCUUACUCGUUGCCUCUUACAGAUGAGAAAUCUGAGGCCCAGAGAUGUCAGGGACUUGCCUGAAGAAACCCAGUGACGUAAUGGUAGAGCCUAGAUUCCAACUCAGGCAUCCGGGCUCCAGAGCCUUGGCUGGUAGUUGCAUAAACACAGGCUGAUUGAUUAGCAUGUAAGGACCACGCUGGAAACAUGGGAAGGUGGGAAGUGACAAUAGGUCACUAGCUCCUGCUAAGCCAGCAAAUUUUUUAAAAGAUUUCCAACAGGUUCCAAUCCACUUGGCCUGGGGUGGGGCCCAGGAAUCAGUACUCUUUAAGACUUCCCAGAUGACCCCACCAUGCCGCCAGUUUGGAGAGCCUCUGCUCUUGGAAAGAGGCUCACCGCACAUGUGCUAUGCAACCCUGGGCCAUGCGCUUAGCCUCUCGGCCUCAGCCUCCACAUCUGGGGAAUGGGAAUGCUGUGGCUUUGGUGACUGCAAGGAGCCUCACGUGUGCACAGCGGCAGGGGCCUGCCACACACUGCCAGCUCCUAUCACCAAGCACAGGAGCUCUUGGCACCCAGGCAGAGACGGGCGCACCAGUCUGCUCGGGCAGCCGUAACAAAGCACCACAGACUGGAGCUUAACACUGGAAUGAGCCUCUAACAGUUCAGAGGCUAGAAGACUGAGAUCAAGGAGUUGCAAGGCUGGUGUCUCCCGAGGCCUCCCUGGCGUGUAGACGGCCAUCUUCACCCUGUGUCCUCACACAGCUGUCCCUCUGUGUGUCUGCGUCCCCUCUCCUUCUGAGGACACGAGUCACAGUGGAUCAGAGCUCAUGUUAACUCGGUACUUGUGCAGAGGCCCAGUCUCCAGAUACAGUCAAUCCUGAGGUCCCAGGGCUAGGGCUCCAAUACAUGAAUUCUGGGAGGUGGGGAGGGUGUUACAAUUCAGCUCAGAACGUGGACAGAACCUGUCCUGAGGUGCUUUCUUGGGUACACAGCUGAGAAUCCAGAAUCUCACACUGCGAGGUGGGUGGUUCUCACUUAAGAGAGCAUUUGACAAUCUCUGAGCCUGGGUUCCCGAUCUGGGCUUUGCCCCUGCCAGCCCUCCGAGGGUUAAUCCAAAGGUCUCUGGAGUUGGGGGGAUUUACUGCCCCCGGACCUUUAUCAUCUCACCCUGACGUUGAGGGCUCACAUUUCCCACUUAAUUACUUGUCCUGCAAUCAGAAGAGAUAGCUGGCUCUGUGCUGAGUUGGCUGCAGCUGUGAACUGUUUAUUUACUUUUCCUCAGCCUGAGAAUGGCUAUAAUUUAAAGGUUCAGAUCUCAGCUACCCUGCCUGGUGCAAACCCCGCUUAAACACUUCCAUAUUGCUCGGGUGGAAUGCGCUGGAAGCUGCCCACCAUGACUGCCGAUUCAACUGUCCACCCCAAGAGCUCGCAGGAAGCCUAGAAGCCAGAGUCGGUGUGAGGACUGCAAGACAGCAGAACGGACUGGCCCCAGACCACCCCACUCCCACCACAGUGGUCCCGGCCACAGUGGAAGCCACCGCUCUCACUAAUUCCUGCGCCAAAUGGUGUAAUUACCACUGAAGUUGUCAAAUGGCAUCCAGAUGGUCUCGCCUUUCACACCAGCGGUUUAAUAAGCUUUUAGGCGUGACCUUGGCAGCUUGUGCUCCACCUGCACACCCCCUGGUUUGUGAAAUCCGAGCGCACAAUUAGAUCAGAUAAUGAGUGCCCAGGCCACCAGCCUUGAACUCUGCAAGCCCUCUUCAAGGGGCGCCCAGAGAGUCACCCCAUGCCACUGACAAAUGGCAUGUGUCCCACCACAAACGGAGGGCCCCUGUGCAUGGCCCCCGGAGGCCUGCUGGGGAGAUCACAGAGACCCUGAGGGGGCCAGCGGCACAUGUUGGGGGCCAGGCAGCUCCCCAGCAAGCUGUUUCAAGAGCUGAGUUCUGGCAAACCAGAGGCUUGAACCUGGCCAUCUCCUCUGAAGACCCAGGCAGCCCAUCAGGGAGGAAAUGCUUCUAAUGCUGCCACCCCAUCAAGGGGGAACCCCAGCAUGGGAGCCACCUGCUGCCACAGUGUUGCCCCUUCAAAUACCUUGAGCCUGAGUAACUCCAGAGCGAAGCUUUCAGCGACCGUGCACUGAAGAGUCACAUCUCACUGUCAUUUUGAAAAGUCAGUUAUUCUUCCCCAGCGUGGGGCACACUGCUCUGGUGUGCACACAGCUAACAGGCCUACAGCCAGCGCCAAUCCCGGGGCUUCACACACAGUGACUCAUCUAAUCCUCAGAUGACCUGGGUGCUGCCUUUAUCCUCCAUUUAGAGAUUAGAAAACUACAGGGAGGGAAAGUGACCUGCCCAAGGUCACACAGCUAGGGAGCAGCAGGAACCGGAUUUGAACCCAGGUGAGGAAGCAGACAUCACGAGUGCACACAACUAUGAUCCCAUUUGCGUAAACAAAUAAUAGUUAUCGUUUCAUUGUUAUGCCUGUAGGAAAACAAGCUACGUAUUUUAAAGCUUCAGGAUUUGUGCAGAGGUUUAGAAAAUGACAAGCAGCCCAAGGAGAGCCCCCACACUGAUCAUCUCAGUGCUCUGCCAGACCCGAGAAAACGAGCAGAUUGAAAGAAAAGAGCAAAUCAGAAGCGUGCGCUGUGAUGGGUUGGCGCAGAGGGCAACCGGAGAGGAGCCAGACACUUGAGCUCUUGGCCAGGGAGAGAGGUUUCUGUGGGACAAUCUUGUCCCCAACCUUUGCCAGGUCUGGUUCCCGCAGACCUCAGAGAACUAGGGGAGGCCAAAGCACAAAGGGAAAAUGCAAAAUGUCUUUGUUCCGACUCCCUCAUUGCAUUUGACUCUUUCUAGGGCAUCAGCAUUCCCCUCACAGGCAUCCUGGGUUUUCAUGGACCCAUCUCAAGGUGGCAUUGAAAACCUACUCUUAAGAC
ensembl:lncRNA